rnacentral:lncRNA from 1 species
AGGGACCUUUUCUUACCUUCUCAGAAUGUUUCAAAAAGUUUUAUGAAGGUCCAACUCAUCAAGGUAAUUCCCUUCAGUACCCUUUUCUUUGAACUCUAAAGCCUUCCUGGCUUGUCUUUCCUCUGGUCGAUAUGUCUUCAAAAGAGGUUGAGGCUAUAAAAACUUUAUGAAGGUACUUCCUUGUUCUAAGUGAUCUCCAUAUAGGCUCCAUCAUUUGAGCUAUCCAAAAACAAUAAGUGCUUGGUGGAGUACUAAUCCCCAAAUUUCUUUGGCAACCAUCACCUCUGCUGUAUGAUUUUGUGGCUUGAAUGCUCUUAGAAAGAAGAACUUCUGAUGUGGGAAUAACAUGCCUAAAGAAGCUUGAUGUUACUGUUGCAUUGGUUAGAAACAAUAGCAUUUAAUACAAUGUAAUAUAAAUUAGGUGGGUGGGAUGAAUAGGCUAGCAUGUGAAGAUAGAAGAAGGAACAUGAAAAAUUUUAUUCAUUU